AACUGAUUCCACUUCCUCCAAAGAGGGAUGAGGAUAAAGACACUUUGGAUGGCCUUUCUUAAGGGCUACAAUUAGCCUGCUGGUAAUUGGGGGCGGCAAUGUCAGAAAGACCACCGGAACGGAAAUUAAGAAACGGUUUCUGACGGACUGAUAUUGUAGUUGCUACUUCCAGUAGACUGAUGCAAUAGCCAGAUACAGACGUGCGCUCUCCAUUAUUGUUCAGUGUUGUGCGUUUAUGCAAACAAAUACCACAACGCAAUAACCUGUGUCAAAUACUACCAUUUGAUCCAUCAUAUCUUCAGAUGAUGUUGUAAUGGAUAUCACUGAUUACCUGAAAAGUACUAUUAAAGAAAAGCUUGAAAGGA